rnacentral:lncRNA from 1 species
UUCCAUUGGUACGAAUGGGAAGACACUGAGAGUUGGAACCGUGAGGCAGGGUAUAUUGGACCAAACCAGUCUUGCGGAUGAUCGGUUGGAUCCAUUUCCGACUUGGGCGUCAUUAGUUUUGAGUCAUGAUGGGUUGAAGCAUGCUGAUAUUUAUCAGAAAAUAAUAAAUUGAAGUGUUCUAUUAUUUUAUGUAUUAUUAGUUAUUUGAAGGAUGGAUUGGAUGCUGAAAAAUUAUGUCAAGUAAAAGUUUCUCACUAGACAUCAUUUUAUGCAUCAAACUUUCUAUGUCAGAACUAAUAAGCUAAGGAUAGUGUCAGAUCAAUUAUAAAAUGAUGAGCAUUUGUGUAAUAUUUGCUGAAUGAAUUCUACACCCUGUGGUCAUUUAGUGAACUUAAAAUAAAUCUAUCUAUUAUACGAGAACAUGUUUUUCUGUCCUGAGCAAAUUUAUUCAGGUAAGGAAAUCCCGGCCUAUUUACCAACCUAUCCUGUCCAACUGAUGCGUGCUCCUUCUUAGACCCAGUCUUCCAACAAACUAAUCCCUCCCACCAGGGGCUCCAUUCUUCUUCUACGAUCUGGCUAGAUGAGGUCGAUUCUAGUGAUUGGUUCAGGUAAGCUCGUUAUGAUGCCGGCAUCCUGCACUCCAGUAAAUUAUUAGAAGGUGAGGAAGCUUUCAAUCUCAUGUCUUUUUGUCCUCUCCCCAUACGUCUCCCCACAGGAGCCUGAUGAAGGUUUGGGAUUUCUGAGCAAAAAGAAAUUGACAUUUUUUAUUAUGAUUUACAAACUUGAAUUGAAUUCAUAGUUUGGUAAAAUUAUUAAUGUUCUUUUUUCUUUUCACUAAUUCAAUAUAUGUGUUUCCAAGCCUGAAAUUCUCGGGGUUGCGUAUGUUCUUUGGGUAUGUACUUGCAGAAAUUCAGAUAAAGAAACCAAAGCAUGAAUAAUUAAUAGAGAUUGUUGCUAAGUUGUACAUUUUUGUUUGGCCUGUUGAGGAACAUUUGCGUUCGUCAAGUUUUCUGUGGAGGACAUAUAUUUCAAAUAGCACUUGUAGUGUGUAAGUGUUUGUUAUACUGAUUGAAAUGACUUUUAAGAUUGCAAGUAUAAUUAGGCCAACAUACAGCAAUAUUUUUUUUUAUAAUUGUGUGUCUAAUAGAUCUCCUGAAUAUUAAACCGUAUACCUUAUUCUCGUAAAAAUUUGAAGCCAAACAGCAGGCUUUUAGGUAUAAAUUUGGGCAAUGACUGUCUUGGAUAUGUGUAUUUAGAUUCUUAUACAUGUCUGAAGUUAAUAAAGUUAUUAGAAGUUAUAUAUGAGAUAUAUAUUAACUGUUAGAUUAUCAACCUUUGUUUUUACAGAUAUAUAACUUAUUCAAAGGAGGAAGAAGCAGUUUGUUGCAUUCAGUCAGUGUAUACACAUUGGAGGGUAGACCAUUAAGGUCUGAUUCUAUUGGCUUUAGUGGAGUGCAGCAGUAAUGUUAUCUGUUUGCUUAUUUACUAUUCUUGUGUUGCAGAGCCUGUUUUGGAACCACAAAAUAUUCCCAUGCAUGUCUGAGGAGUGUGGUAUGGUCCUUAAUUUAAUUAAUUGUGAGUAAUUCGACUAUGGGGGCAUACUGUAAUGGAAGGGUAUAUAUUCGCGGACUAAUAUAUUUCUGAAUUAAAUUCUGACUGUAAGGCUAUUUUUGUUAGAUGGAAAAGAACUUGAUGGUUGAAUUACCAUACCACUAAAUUCAGUUCCACUACACAUUUACAAUGGUGUAAUAAUGUUUGUAAGCAUAGAGCACACGAUAGUUUAUGGAGUAUCUUGUGGUAGGUACGAGUGCUACAUAAUUUAAUUGGAUUUGUCAGAGUCGAAUAUUCAAGCUAUACUUUGUCCACUUAUGUUGUUUAACCAAUUAUUAUUUGUCGAAGUUGGGUCUUCGGUAUAUGUAGAUUCCUCAUUUUUCUGACUUUGCUAAUUACGGAAGAACUUUACAACUUUUACUCUAUUUGUAUACCUUGCACAGUGAUUUCUUUUGAUUUUUUUAGCUUUUACAUGAAUAUGACUCAGGUGUAUGUAUGUUAGACAGUUAAGAUUGGUGAAAUCCUUGCGCAAUUUAUGGAACUUCAGACCUUGGGUGACAGGAAUUUGCAGUUUGCUUUCUUAUUUCAGUUUACGAGAGUGUAUUAUCUUUUUUUGAUUGAUUUUAGGCAAAUAAUACGGGGACGAUGUCAAGCAAAAUGAAAAAGAAAGCAAAAUUGCAGCGUGUCAUUCGUAGCAUGAAAAAACAGCAGCUCCAGUCUUCAGAAAAGACUACAAGCUUCAGGUCAUAUUCACCUCUUAACCAUUUACAUGAUGCUCAGGUAAUAAUAAUCAUCUGAGGUUUUGGUGAUCACUGAUACUCUGCAGUUUUAGGAUAGCAAGAUAACUCAUCAUACUUAUAUUUUGUUGUCAGGGAUUUGUUGAAAAGCUGUAUUCUCGUCUCCAAACUGCUGACAAAUUUGAGGUAUUCAGACUGAUGUGUAAUGUUUAGCUUUUUCUUUCUAAUUUAUUCAAGAUCCAAUCUGCACCUUUUAACACCAUUUUAUGUGUCACAGAAGUUAUUAUCUAAAUUGCUUUAUAACCUUUAUUUUUUCUAUUAUCUGUGCUUGUUUCAUUUCCACAAUCUCUAUCAGUUAUGUUGUUUAGUGUCUUCUUAGUAUACAUCUGAUAAUGUGAAACUUUAGCACAGCGAACUGUAUUGUUUGAAAUCUGUACCUUUUAUGUAUGUAUUGUAUUGAAUAAAAAUCAUCAUUACGCGAUCAUGAGCAACAGAAAGCAGCUAUUGAUAACACAAAAUAUUAAAAUUCGUUUUAGUUCUAUCUGAACCCAGAUAAUCUAUGAUGACCAAUUUUACAUGGUAAUGACUUAAAAGUUUAUGGUUUAAUUCUCAAAAGUUUAUAAUUUUAACAGUUCAGUCUUCCCAAGACAACUUUACUGCCCUGAAGCAGGUUUUGGAAAAUUAGAGAGAAGUGUUACAAAGUUGACAGAAAUAUUCCUUGUGCACUGUAAGAUAAAAGGAAAACCGGAUUCUGCAGAAACUGUUGUGUUGGUCGAUGGCUAUUUGACAAAGCGAGCCUGUUGCUGGUUUUCACGCUUAGGUAUGCAGGCCGGUGAUUAUGUAAUGUAAAGGAGAAAAUGCAAUUAACUUUACUUAUGAUUUAAAAAGACAUCCUUCUUGUCAUUUCAGUUGUUGUGGGAUAUUGUCCAUUUGGAGAACAGGAACAGGCAUUGCAAUAUUUUACUGAACUACCUCGGUUUCAUCACACGUGUGACUUUUUGAAAGGAUUAUUUGUUUUUAUAUAUAACCAGUCUUGUUUUGAUCUGAAUUUCACUGCUAAUAUAUUUUUCCCUGGUGAUUCUCAGGGUAAAUGUUGUGUUUCGUCUAGUUUCAACCGUUUCUGUUCCUAUGAACUUCACAAUAUGAACAUAAUCAAGGUGAUAAAGAGUCAUAUUGUUACAUAACAGUUUGAUGAAUAUUUUGGUUCAAGUACUUCAUGAUAUGUUUUCUUGUUUUGUAGAAUUUACCAGGCGUGGAUGCUCUCACUGCAUUUGCAUAUUUCUUUGAUGCUGAGUCCACAAGGAAGUACGUAAGUUCAAGAAGUUUGGCAGAGGAAAGACAAGUAAGUUCACAAAAAGUUUUGUAGUCCUUCAUUUCCUGGACUUGGUUGCUUGUCUCCCCUAAAACCUGCUAGCUUAAAAGAGUAUUUGGCUGCAAUUUCCUGAAAUGCUUUACUUGAGAGUCUCUAUUUUUCUUCCAUUACUUUUAAAUGGUUGAAUAUAGAACUGUAAUAUCCGAAAUUGUGUCUUCUCAAGCAAACAGAUUACUGGCAGUUGAUAGUACUAUGCCAAAACCAGAGUAGAACUCAUGAAUUAGAAAAUUUCAUCAUAGGAUCAGCUUUGCAUAAAUUGAUGAUUUGCUUUACCAUUAUUUCCUUAUGCAACACUAAUUUAAUACUUUGAAUUUGAAUGCACGGGACGCUAAUCUACUUUUGCAGUUCAAAGUGUCCAAAUGUCAUUGUUACAACUUAAAACUGUAAAGACAUAUUGAAGAUUGAAGUACAACACCAAGAAAAUAAGUACUCAAUUAAUUUCUAUUUACAUCUCGUGUAGUAUCUGAAAGAAUAUAUAGCUUGAACCAUUAUGUGAAUUUUCCCCUUAUAUAGCUGCUGUUUGGUGCAGAUAAGCAGCUUACUUCUAGGUAGUAUGCUAGAUGUGGUAGAGGAGGUACAAUUAGCUCGGUUAGAACUUCGUAAUCUCAUUCAGUGUAUCUUCUGCUCUGAGUCAGGUAACUUCUGUACUUCUCCACUUGAAAGUUUCUUUUCGCAGGUGUGCUCUAAAUUUCGUUUGUUUCUUGCUUAGUCAGCCUAUGAGAAAGGAUGCCUUUCGUUUGUUUUUUUACCCCUGUUCUUUAAAAUCUCAAUUUUUUUUGUCUUGAAUAAGGAAACCUUUUUUUUAAAAAUAACUGCAGUAGUUAGUUUUUACUGGCUGGCACUGCCAAUCAAAGUGUGAGACUCACUUAUGGCCAAAUGCUUAGUUAAAGUUACUUUGUCCUUUGCUAGACUUUAAUGCUAAAUAUGAGAAUCUUUGUAUUGAGAUGAACUGAUGGUGCCUCAUGCCUGUGUCGCUUGAUGGAGCAUAGGAGCAUGCAUCGGUUGAAAUAUUGUAGUUAUUAAUUGUCCCUCUACUGUGCUAAUAUGGGGGGAUGAAUCUCUCGUGAAUCAAAGCAUAAUAAUCCUUCAUAUUUUUUCUAAUGUUAACCGUGUUUACAUGCAAUUGUAGUUAAUUUCCAUUUUGUGUGCAGUUGAACAGCUUGAUUUGCAGCUUUAUUUCCUUAAUCUUAAAAGUGGUAAAAGAGCAAUCUUUACUUUUGACUUGUCCUGUUUAAAAGGUACAGAGCCUUACUUUCGAAUAUUGAUUGUUUCUACUUUCUGCUAUUAUGAAUUAUUAUUUACCUUAUUCCUAUCAGAUGUUCCCGGGUGGUAAUAUUGGACCCGACACGAACUCGACCCAUAAAUACGAAUUCGGGUUGGAGUUUUUCAGGUUCGGGUCGAAUUCGGGUUGACCAAACUACUAGGAUAUAUACGUAUUUGAGAAGUCAUAAAAGUUGCAGAAAAUGAAAGUCCUGCCUAACGAUGGAAAGUCUCGAAAUUAAAAUUGAAUUUUUUAUUGGAAGGAAAGAUAUGCUAGAGAAUGAAAAGAUUGGUAGUGAUGGUAAAUAUCGACUAGGAGGAAGGAACGUAUCUCCUGUUUACAUAGAAAUGAUUGAAUUUGCUAUUAUAGAUGAUAGGUAGCUUUGUAUAUAAACUCUCUUUAGUCAUUGUAAUUCUAUAUACAUAUUUGAGUGAUUGCAAGUUGAAUUAGGUUAUCGUGAAGCUUUGUAUUUUGUACAUAGAGAGUUUGAGAGAGUUUGUGUAUUGAGUUUGUAAUUGCAAGAGUUGCAGGCGCAACUACUAAGGUUUUUGUACGCAUUUGUAAAGAAAGUUUGAACUUGUUCAUAUAUAUACAUACAGUUGUUUUCAUCAUUGUGUUUAUUGAUUAUUCGUUGCUUGAAUAUUUGUUUUAUUAAUUGAUAAACGGACAUUGUUUACGGUACUUAUAUUCAACCCCACCUUGUAAAAGUACAUUGUUAGGAAUAUGUUAGGCUUGAUGAUAAGUCAAAACAGUUUAAGUAAAUGUAGCGACCAUUUUGUAAAUAUUUAAUAUACUAAGUAUGUAAACUACUCAAGUGAAGUGAAGAUUAACGACUAAAUCUAAGCUAUCAACGGAUAAGGAAUAAAAUUUCAUCAACGACUAAUAAAGAUAAGCUAUCAACUGAUAAUAAGAAGCAAUUAAUGGCCAAGUCAUGAAAGCUAUUAACAGCUAUCACAUUGGUUUAUUAUUUGCUAAAUCAAGCAUUAUCAGUUGACAGCUACAAUAGAGAAAAAAGACAACAGUCAUAUGGGAUGGGAUAUGGGAUGGGAUGAUCAAAUAAAGUUUAAUUUGUUUUGAAAGCUAAGACAAGUAAAGGCCUAGCACUAUGUUGAUCAAAUAUGUGUUGGAAGAAAGAUGAAGAAUCAUCUUUUCGAUAUACAAUUUCAGGAGCACCAUCUUUCUUUCUGAAGAAGAUGAUUAAUGAAUGGAUGAGCUGAUUAUCCUUCUGGAUCUUCUUACAAUGAGUUACCCAUGACUUUGGAAGAACUUUAACUAGCUCGUUUUUAAAAAUUUGCUUUGGCACAUGAAUACAUGAGCUUGGUUGAGCAUCAAAUUGUAGAAAUAGUGCAUUAUUUGUAUCUCAGGGAAGACUGGGGUCAAAUAAAUGGUUCUGGAAUAUUCUAUAGGUCAUUUAAUGCAGAAGACUGGUAAUAUAAGUUUCUGAAAUUUGCAGUGCUCCAAUAAUCUGAAGCUAAACUUUGAGAUUAUUUUAGAUAAAAGGGUCACCAAGCUUCAAAUUGAAGUUUCGAAAAAAGCGUUACAAAAAUUGUACCAGCUUUUAACGUGGUUUGAACAAUAGCUGCGUAUGCACCAAAAGUGUCAUCCUUGCAAUCACUAGUAGUCAUUUCCUUCAUAGAGGGUUAGACAUUCUAACAGCUCCAAAAUGAAGAUGAAAAAAGUUUUGCAUCCGUCACUGCUCUGGCAACGAAUCUCCCAACAAAAUAGGAAUAAUAUGCUCUACUUCAGUAGAAAGAAUAUGGACUUGCUCGAGAUUUGAAAUCAAGACUAGAUCUUUAGCUUCUAAGUCUUUUUGAGAAGAAAGAACAUGAUGUUUUUUAGUGAAAGCUCGAUAUGGGUUUAGCAAAGAAAGUUAGGUGAUAGGAAUCUUAUUAUCUUCAUUGUUGUAAUUUAUAGAUUCAAGAAAAUCACUUUUUUUUAUUGAGAGGAACAAAAGAGUUCUUAGAAGAAAAGAAGGAUGAAGAAGAUAGUUGGUCGGCUUGAGGGACAACUUGAUAGAUAUCAAUCUAGCAUAUCAAUAAUACGAUGAUACUUGUCUGGAUAUCUUUAUCAUAAAAGAUAAGAUUCUCUAUUUAAAAUUAUUACUUCCACGUUAUUAUAUAUUUCCAUACAUUUUUAUUUUUUAUCUUACAAAACACGACAAUAUUAUAAGUUUUAGAGUGAUUGACACUUUGCAUCCCUUGUGUUUAGGCGCUUUUACGAUUUGGUCUCAAACAAUUUUUUUUACAGUAUGCGCCCUAAAGUUUGAAAAACGUUUCGCUUUGCACCCCUUUUGACCACUAUCCGUUAGUUGACCGUUAAAGUUAACAGAUUUCAGGUUUUCACUUUGCACCUCACAAUUUUAAUUUUUUUCAUAAGUAUUUUAAAAUAUUUUAUUUUGUUAUUAUUUUCAUUCUUGGUAUCAGUACCAUGUGUUAGUUAUGGUUGUUAUUCUCGUCCCACAGGCGACACUAAUAAUGUGAAUAAAAAUCUUAAUCCAGGAUUGUCAAGUUUAGAUAGGGGUUGUUUUGACUAACCUGUGUUAUUGGACUAUAUAUUUUAAAAGAUUUUUGACAAUCAAGUCGAGACGUAAUUCUUUAUUAUGAGUUACUGAUAUAUUUAUAGAAGGUGUAAAAAUUUUCGAUUUAGACCAAGUUUAGGUUUCUUGAAUAGAAAUCCACUCCUGAUCCUUAUAUAGGACUCAAUGUUAAAGUUAUGGAUCGUUUGGUUUAUGAGUAUCUGGAAUCAAGUACGGGAGUUUGUUCAUACCAAACUAAUACCUGGUGUUUGGUUGGAUAAUAUAUAAUCUCAUACUCAUAUCUUAAACCUCCCAGGUAUGGGUUUUUGAUAUCCAAGUGGGGAGGUAGGUAUGAGAUGGGGGCAUGAGAUGCAUUCAUUUUUUAUUUUUUUGCCUCUAUUUAAAUAAUAAAAUAUUAAUGUUUUAUACAAAAUUAAAUCAAUGAUGCAAAAAUAUAUAUGUCUAAAUAAUUUUAUUAAUAUUUUUAAUUAAUAUAAAUUAAUAACUUAUUUUUUACAAAAAUAAUGUAUAUAUUAAUUUCAGCACUCAACGAAACACAUGAUAGCAGAUAUGAUACCUCAAAAGUUCAAACUCAUAUCAGCUUAACCCGAUUUCUCGUUCCGACCACGUAUCACUCGUCGAAACCAAACGACCCGUUAGUGUUAUUCCAAUUAGUCAUACUGAACUUCAUGCGAGAAAUCAAGCGAAUUUGGGUUCCUCAACCCAAUAAAGUCUUUAUUUUCAAACCGAGUUGGGCUCCCGUCAUAAAUUCUGGGCUUAUAUUUAAUUACGGUCUUUCUAAUAUGUGCCCAAGAGCACACAAUAAUCACUAAAUUUUAUAAAAAUGAUUUAUUCUGGUGGAGUUGAUGUGAAUGAGAGGGGCCAUUAUCAUUUAUUAUUCAUCCACCAAGCAGAAGAAACUAUUUUUAUUGGAGUUAGCGAAUAUUGUGUGCCCUUGGGCACACCAUAGAAAAUCCCAUUUAAUUAAACAUCAAGUAUAAUUAAAUAAUUUAUUUUAGACCAUAUCAAUUAUAAAGUAUGAAAUUAAACUUUAGGGAAAACACCAAAAGUUCAAAUUUAGGGAUAAAUAAUUUAAAAAAAGAAAAAAAAUCAUUUUGAAAUUUGAAAUGUCAAAAAAGAAUUUUAAAAAUAUGAAAAUUGGGUAUAUUUUGUUAUAAUUUAAUAUGAUGAACAUAUAUUGAAUUAUUUUAAAUUAAUUUUCUCUUUUCCUCUGAAUUUAUAAUUUUUUGUUUCUACCGGAAAAAAAAUCCCCACAUUGUUUCUUAUUUCUGAUGUUCUCAUUAUAAAAGAUUUCUCUAUAAAAAUAUAUGACAGUUAGUUACUCGGAGAGGCGUGAACGUAAUUUUCUUGUAUAAGUUUCUAUCAAUUCUUGAUUUCUGCCGGUACAUUGUCUUCGUCGGCUUUCUUUGUCCAAUCAGGUUCGAUUUAACUGUUUCUCAUUUCUUGAAGUCUACCUGUCCUGCUGUACAUUCUUGAUUCUGAUUUCUGAUGGUUCUCUUUGAUUUUGAUUUCUACUACCUCCUGCUCUGCUGUACAUUCUUGAUUCUGUACUGCUGUACAUUCUUGAUUCUGAUUUGAGAUUUCUGAUGGUUCUAUUUGAUUUAAUUGUUUCAUAAUUACAGUUUGUCACAUUUAGAAACUGAUUGUUCUCCACUCUUUUUCACAGAACAGCACAAUGAUAUAUCACGCUGCUAGACAUGUUCGUGCAAGACUUGUGAGUUGUGGAAGAAUAAUCAGCAAGGGUUAUAAUGCAAAUUCUUUCAAUGAUGUCACAGAAAAGGGUAACAUUGUAUAUCUUUACUUGAAUAAUCAGCGAAAGUUAUAAUGCAAAUUCUUUACUUGAAUACACUGUAUAUCUUUACUUUCUCUCUAUCAUGGUAUCUCUUCGAUCUUUGUAACAUCCUGGAUAAUGAAUAUUUAUUUCAUCAACUCUACUCUCUGGGCAGUUCCACUGAAUAAGCGAACAGUGUUUCGCGCAAAACCUAGAGUACGAGGUUGUAGCUGGGAUUAUCCAGGUACAAGACAACCUUUAAUAACGAUCAUUGACAUUUAAUUCCCCUGUAUAUAAACAAUAAAACCAUUGUGAGGCAUUGCUUGUUUUCUGAUACUGUCAUAUACUAUCAGGGGUACUCUUGNCUAAGUAUGUAAACUACUCAAGUGAAGUGAAGAUUAACGACUAAAUCUAAGCUAUCAACGGAUAAGGAAUAAAAUUUCAUCAACGACUAAUAAAGAUAAGCUAUCAACUGAUAAUAAGAAGCAAUUAAUGGCCAAGUCAUGAAAGCUAUUAACAGCUAUCACAUUGGUUUAUUAUUUGCUAAAUCAAGCAUUAUCAGUUGACAGCUACAAUAGAGAAAAAAGACAACAGUCAUAUGGGAUGGGAUAUGGGAUGGGAUGAUCAAAUAAAGUUUAAUUUGUUUUGAAAGCUAAGACAAGUAAAGGCCUAGCACUAUGUUGAUCAAAUAUGUGUUGGAAGAAAGAUGAAGAAUCAUCUUUUCGAUAUACAAUUUCAGGAGCACCAUCUUUCUUUCUGAAGAAGAUGAUUAAUGAAUGGAUGAGCUGAUUAUCCUUCUGGAUCUUCUUACAAUGAGUUACCCAUGACUUUGGAAGAACUUUAACUAGCUCGUUUUUAAAAAUUUGCUUUGGCACAUGAAUACAUGAGCUUGGUUGAGCAUCAACUUGUAGAAAUAGUGCAUCAUUUGUAUCUCAGGGAAGACUGGGGUCAAAUAAAUGGUUCUGGAAUAUUCUAUAGGUCAUUUAAUGCAGAAGACUGGUAAUAUAAGUUUCUGAAAUUUGCAGUGCUCCAAUAAUCUGAAGCUAAACUUUGAGAUUAUUUUAGAUAAAAGGGUCACCAAGCUUCAAAUUGAAGUUUCGAAAAAAGCGUUACAAAAAUUGUACCAGCUUUUAACGUGGUUUGAACAAUAGCUGCGUAUGCACCAAAAGUGUCAUCCUUGCAAUCACUAGUAGUCAUUUCCUUCAUAGAGGGUUAGACAUUCUAACAGCUCCAAAAUGAAGAUGAAAAAAGUUUUGCAUCCGUCACUGCUCUGGCAACGAAUCUCCCAACAAAAUAGGAAUAAUAUGCUCUACUUCAGUAGAAAGAAUAUGGACUUGCUCGAGAUUUGAAAUCAAGACUAGAUCUUUAGCUUCUAAGUCUUUUUGAGAAGAAAGAACAUGAUGUUUUUUAGUGAAAGCUCGAUAUGGGUUUAGCAAAGAAAGUUAGGUGAUAGGAAUCUUAUUAUCUUCAUUGUUGUAAUUUAUAGAUUCAAGAAAAUCACUUUUUUUUAUUGAGAGGAACAAAAGAGUUCUUAGAAGAAAAGAAGGAUGAAGAAGAUAGUUGGUCGGCUUGAGGGACAACUUGAUAGAUAUCAAUCUAGCAUAUCAAUAAUACGAUGAUACUUGUCUGGAUAUCUUUAUCAUAAAAGAUAAGAUUCUCUAUUUAAAAUUAUUACUUCCACGUUAUUAUAUAUUUCCAUACAUUUUUAUUUUUUAUCUUACAAAACACGACAAUAUUAUAAGUUUUAGAGUGAUUGACACUUUGCAUCCCUUGUGUUUAGGCGCUUUUACGAUUUGGUCUCAAACAAUUUUUUUUACAGUAUGCGCCCUAAAGUUUGAAAAACGUUUCGCUUUGCACCCCUUUUGACCACUAUCCGUUAGUUGACCGUUAAAGUUAACAGAUUUCAGGUUUUCACUUUGCACCUCACAAUUUUAAUUUUUUUCAUAAGUAUUUUAAAAUAUUUUAUUUUGUUAUUAUUUUCAUUCUUGGUAUCAGUACCAUGUGUUAGUUAUGGUUGUUAUUCUCGUCCCACAGGCGACACUAAUAAUGUGAAUAAAAAUCUUAAUCCAGGAUUGUCAAGUUUAGAUAGGGGUUGUUUUGACUAACCUGUGUUAUUGGACUAUAUAUUUUAAAAGAUUUUUGACAAUCAAGUCGAGACGUAAUUCUUUAUUAUGAGUUACUGAUAUAUUUAUAGAAGGUGUAAAAAUUUUCGAUUUAGACCAAGUUUAGGUUUCUUGAAUAGAAAUCCACUCCUGAUCCUUAUAUAGGACUCAAUGUUAAAGUUAUGGAUCGUUUGGUUUAUGAGUAUCUGGAAUCAAGUACGGGAGUUUGUUCAUACCAAACUAAUACCUGGUGUUUGGUUGGAUAAUAUAUAAUCUCAUACUCAUAUCUUAAACCUCCCAGGUAUGGGUUUUUGAUAUCCAAGUGGGGAGGUAGGUAUGAGAUGGGGGCAUGAGAUGCAUUCAUUUUUUAUUUUUUUGCCUCUAUUUAAAUAAUAAAAUAUUAAUGUUUUAUACAAAAUUAAAUCAAUGAUGCAAAAAUAUAUAUGUCUAAAUAAUUUUAUUAAUAUUUUUAAUUAAUAUAAAUUAAUAACUUAUUUUUUACAAAAAUAAUGUAUAUAUUAAUUUCAGCACUCAACGAAACACAUGAUAGCAGAUAUGAUACCUCAAAAGUUCAAACUCAUAUCAGCUUAACCCGAUUUCUCGUUCCGACCACGUAUCACUCGUCGAAACCAAACGACCCGUUAGUGUUAUUCCAAUUAGUCAUACUGAACUUCAUGCGAGAAAUCAAGCGAAUUUGGGUUCCUCAACCCAAUAAAGUCUUUAUUUUCAAACCGAGUUGGGCUCCCGUCAUAAAUUCUGGGCUUAUAUUUAAUUACGGUCUUUCUAAUAUGUGCCCAAGAGCACACAAUAAUCACUAAAUUUUAUAAAAAUGAUUUAUUCUGGUGGAGUUGAUGUGAAUGAGAGGGGCCAUUAUCAUUUAUUAUUCAUCCACCAAGCAGAAGAAACUAUUUUUAUUGGAGUUAGCGAAUAUUGUGUGCCCUUGGGCACACCAUAGAAAAUCCCAUUUAAUUAAACAUCAAGUAUAAUUAAAUAAUUUAUUUUAGACCAUAUCAAUUAUAAAGUAUGAAAUUAAACUUUAGGGAAAACACCAAAAGUUCAAAUUUAGGGAUAAAUAAUUUAAAAAAAGAAAAAAAAUCAUUUUGAAAUUUGAAAUGUCAAAAAAGAAUUUUAAAAAUAUGAAAAUUGGGUAUAUUUUGUUAUAAUUUAAUAUGAUGAACAUAUAUUGAAUUAUUUUAAAUUAAUUUUCUCUUUUCCUCUGAAUUUAUAAUUUUUUGUUUCUACCGGAAAAAAAAUCCCCACAUUGUUUCUUAUUUCUGAUGUUCUCAUUAUAAAAGAUUUCUCUAUAAAAAUAUAUGACAGUUAGUUACUCGGAGAGGCGUGAACGUAAUUUUCUUGUAUAAGUUUCUAUCAAUUCUUGAUUUCUGCCGGUACAUUGUCUUCGUCGGCUUUCUUUGUCCAAUCAGGUUCGAUUUAACUGUUUCUCAUUUCUUGAAGUCUACCUGUCCUGCUGUACAUUCUUGAUUCUGAUUUCUGAUGGUUCUCUUUGAUUUUGAUUUCUACUACCUCCUGCUCUGCUGUACAUUCUUGAUUCUGUACUGCUGUACAUUCUUGAUUCUGAUUUGAGAUUUCUGAUGGUUCUAUUUGAUUUAAUUGUUUCAUAAUUACAGUUUGUCACAUUUAGAAACUGAUUGUUCUCCACUCUUUUUCACAGAACAGCACAAUGAUAUAUCACGCUGCUAGACAUGUUCGUGCAAGACUUGUGAGUUGUGGAAGAAUAAUCAGCAAGGGUUAUAAUGCAAAUUCUUUCAAUGAUGUCACAGAAAAGGGUAACAUUGUAUAUCUUUACUUGAAUAAUCAGCGAAAGUUAUAAUGCAAAUUCUUUACUUGAAUACACUGUAUAUCUUUACUUUCUCUCUAUCAUGGUAUCUCUUCGAUCUUUGUAACAUCCUGGAUAAUGAAUAUUUAUUUCAUCAACUCUACUCUCUGGGCAGUUCCACUGAAUAAGCGAACAGUGUUUCGCGCAAAACCUAGAGUACGAGGUUGUAGCUGGGAUUAUCCAGGUACAAGACAACCUUUAAUAACGAUCAUUGACAUUUAAUUCCCCUGUAUAUAAACAAUAAAACCAUUGUGAGGCAUUGCUUGUUUUCUGAUACUGUCAUAUACUAUCAGGGGUACUCUUGGCCAGGAAUAUCACUGAUCCAAGCACUCCCAGUGUAGCAGCAAUUCUCAGAGGUUCAAAAACUGUAUGCAGACCACCGAGAAGACCAAUCCCUGAGGAAGGUAAACAUUAUACUAUAUAAAGUAUGAAGACAAUAAAACCUCCAACAUUCUUAAUUAACUAUUAUUAUUGCACUCUUAUAAACGUUUUACAAUUGUAGAUAGACGACUAAUCCUAAGAAUCCAGAUCUUACCUGGGUACUCAAAUUUCAACAUACACUGCCUGGCCACAGCAAGGUACAACGAUCUAGCCAAGUACCUAACAGAUGAACAAAAAAGGAAGGACUCUGAACAAAGGAGGAGCGAAUCUAAGCUAGAAAGCAUCUACAUCGACAAACCUCAGCAGAAUGUGACAGAAGUCGUCAAGGUAUUCACUUUUCACUUUAGGAAUGUAAAAUGUGAAACAUAGGGUUUUAAUUGAUUGCUUUUUAUAUCUAUUGUUUAGGAGAUAAAAUCUCUGCCCUUCCUGAAGAGGUUAACUAACUUGUGGAUGACGAAAAAAAAAGAAGAUGAUGAACUGUUCAUCGCCAGGGAGUACAUAAAACAUUCCAACUGGACUGAAUACGAGCAAAUGAGUGUCGCUGAAUAUUGCUACGUUGCUAUGAUCUUGGCAGAAAGAUUCAUAAACGGAAAAGACAAUCUUGCACACAUUCUGCCACUACUGAAGUAUUUUCACAAUAGAAUAUACCAAUGCAAUCUUAUGGAAUUCAGAGUAAGCUAUGUUGUGGGAUUCAAGGUUCUAGGUUACUAUUUACCUUCUGCUGCUCAUAAUCAUCAGCUUGUACCGAUUCGUAAACUGGAAGAAUUCCAUGUAGCUGUCUCCCAUCAGCGAUCUAUAAUGGAUCACCCCGACGACUACACCGAGGGGAUUUUUCUUCUACCAUAGCCAUAGCCAGUAUAGUAAAUAAAGCCUGCAGUCAUUUUCUGAUGUAAGUCCAGAUAUAACAACAUAUUGUAAACGCAGCCAGAUGGCUGGUUCAUUUUCUAAUAUAAACUGCAUAUAUAUCAGUUAGUCAGUUAAAUGCCUCAUAAAUAUCUAUACCUGAUAUCGUUUGAUCUAUACAUCAUAUAUGCAUCCAAAUUACCAUUUCGUGCGAUUGAAUUGCAUAUUUCACUGAAAAUGCUUCAGAAUUAGUUAAAUCCUACUACAGAUGAAGAGUUCAUGACUCAUUAAACAGUUAUAUCAAUGUAAUGGAAACAUCUCUACUUUCACAAACACAAUUGGAAUCUGAAUAUAGGUUAAGAUAAAGAAACAAAUAGGAAGGGAAUCAUCUGGAAACAUCAGCAAUGUGUUGAACAACUUUAUCUUUUGCUUUAUUUGUUCAUAAUCUUCUUUAUUUAACAUAAUCUUCUUAACCUUUUCUUCUUUUUCUUCCACUAAAACUAAAAAAAACUGGAAGAAUCAGGAUAUAUCUUGUUUCAACGCAGACCUUGAUGACCAAAAUAAGUUGCUAAUUAAACAGAAGCAUAAGCAUUGUACUAAAACUGUACUAUAUUCAUAAUGUGGAAAGAUUGUCAAACUAUGUUUCAAGUAAAAAUUAUAUCUCUUAAAGCAAAUGUAUCAAAUAAAAAGUAAAAACUAGAAUACUGUUUCGAGUAAGUUUAAGUGUGUCGAGACUUAUACUCACUUAUUCCCCUUGAUCUUGAACCAAGCCUCGGCACAAUGCUUAUGAGCAGCAGCCAGAUCAUCCUUGCACGAACAACCUAAUUCAAUGGCAAUGCCAUUCUCCUGGUGAGCAGCAUCCAUCUCAACACUGAGUUGACAAAUUCUACAAUCCCUCUCCGACUGCACGUUCACUUGAACAACCCGGUUGUCAUCAAUCCAACAGUAGUCUGGUUCAACUACAGAACAGGAAACUCUCCUAGAAUCCAAAACCUGACAGAUUUCAUGAUCAGAAGUAGAGUCAUCAUUUGAGCCAUCAGCAGAAUAAAACUUAGAGUAACAAGAAGCCUCCACUACAACUACAUAAAGCAGUAAUAUUUUACCUAUGACAUUUGGACUACAACUACAGCCCUCCACUUUGUGUUUAAUACACACACACACCAAACGGGAAUAAAAUAUCACAAAGGUACAUAAGAAAAAUCAUAACUGUUAUCGAAGUUAACCACCCAGAAAGCAAAUGACAGUGUCAAGUACAACAUAAAGCGAGAAAAGCUUCAAAUUUGCUAAAAUUCUAACAAAAGGGUUUGAAAAAUCAACAAAAUUAUUGAGAAAGAAGCAGAGGUUGAAAACUUCUAGUUGAAAUGGAAAAGGGCAAACAAUCAAAGAAAUUAGGUUUCCAGAGUAAGUUACAAGCAUGAAUAUGCAAUCUUUAUAUUCAAGACACAGAAAAACAAAGAUAAUUGGCAUGACAAAGCCUUCAGGCUGAAUUUGGCCAGGGCAAGUAGAAAACUUUCCGCAUAUUUAUAAUCUAUACUACAAAAAUCUCAGCUGAUGUGUAAGUUUUUUGUUGAUAAUAUAACUAACCUAAUAUCAGAUCAGCACUCAGCAUAAAAACACCCAAAAUUAUAACAAAUAUUACCAAUGACCUCUUGGUCAGAUAGUAUCACCCUUGCCCAAUUUAUCGGAAAUGGGGGGUUGGAAUCUUGUCUAAAACAAGAUGUGUGUGCUUGUAUGUAAUUACCCCCAAAAGAAUUAUUGUUGCUCUCAAAUCCAGGGUUGGACAUACAAGUCUUGCACUUCCACGAAUCUAUAUUAGUUUUUUUUUCUCUUCUUGUCUAUCAGCUGCAAAACCUUCUUUACUUCUCUUUUAUCUGCAAUACAAUAAGAUAUUUAAUCAUCAAAAACCAAGAACUCUUUGGUAACUGAAGAUGCAUAAAUAACUAGAUUCAUCUUUUACGAAGCGAGAGGCUAAGAAUCCACAACAAUGAGUCUAAGAAUUAAAGACAUUGUUUUCAUCCGAUCUCAACCUAAAUAAGAGAGUAUAUGGGUUUUGAGGAUAUACAACUGAAAAUGUAUGAUUGGUCAGAAAGAUGAAAACUCAACAUUAUUAACAAGAAAUAAAAUAGAAAGUUGUAAACUUGAAAAGGUGCAAUUAAACCUAGGAGGAUUUCUUUGGGAAUCAUUAAUCCAAGCCCUAUUAAAGUAAGUGCAGAGUCCAGAGGUUCUAAGAAAAAGUAAUGUGUUUGAACCAGAAAGAAAAGAACCCUAAGAGAAGGGUAAUCAUUUUUAUUAUACAGAACAUAAAUUGUUAAUUCAGUGUGUGUGUGUGUGUGUGAACAAAAAAAGAAGCACUUUUAAUCCAGGAGGCCACAAACCAAAAUUAAUUGCAACAAUGGAUCCAAAAGAGGGAAGGGGGAGCUUUGCCUCAAUUUGAUGAGAUCUAAACCAAAAGCUAGCAUAAUAAACAUAAAAGAAACAGACAGUUGCGAGCUCCAAAUUGAUUUAAAAAUAGAGCAAUCAAUCAAUCGACUGAAGAAAUUGGGAUGAUAAGGAAAAUAGCAACAACAUUACUUACCAAUAAUGGGAUGUUAUAAACACAUGCACAAGCACAUACACAUAUAUAUUCCAAAUUUCCAUUUAAACACUUUCACCAGGAAAAAAAAAAAUCCAAGACACUCGACAGCGAGAAGUCAUAAUGAUCCGAAAGAACCUGUUAUAGAGCUCAAUACCUAUCUCUACAGAAGUUGAAAUUUAGUAGCAGCAAUAAUAGCCAGAAAGUCCAGAUUAUUGUACAUCUCAGUAGAUACGGCAAUUCACCAAAUGUUCCAAUCCCAUAUCUAGAAAACUUGAAAUUUCAGCCAAAAAAUUGAAAACUUUAUAUUAAAUUGAGAAAAGGAAACUGAACAACCAAACUAAGUACAUAAACUGUGAUUUAGAGCACAUAAUUAAAAAAGAAAAGAGGCUGCAGACAAAAACAUUCGCAACAAAAAAUUCAGGAAUUUGCCUCUGGUAUGCAAAAUAAUGGGAUACCAUUAAUCAUAAACCAAUAUAAUGGUAAGGUACUUCAGGAUAAAAAAUUCAAAAGAUCGAUUUUUUACCUAGAGGGGCUGAUAAUUCACUACCAUGAGUCCAACAAUUAAAGACUUUGCCUUGAACACUGAAAAGGUAUUUCGAUUAAGCUGGAUCAACCCAAAUCAAGAACAUAUAAGGGAUUCAAGAAAACAAAAUUAAAAUUAUCUGAUUAGUCACACAUAAUUAACAUAAAAAACAAAUAGAAAGUUCUAAACUUGCAACUAAUCAACCAAAAUGAACACAAAGAAUAGUGAAUCAACAAUUUAUAGAUAAAGAUGCGAUUUUUACCAUAAAAGAGGCCUCCAACCAAAACUGUCUGGAACAAUGAAUCAAAACUAUAAAGGAUUUUCCCAGAAUUUGAUGAGAUCUGAUUAAAAAUCAAAACUUUAAAUUGCUGAAAGAGGAUAAUCAAACAAUUGGGAAAAAGGGGAUCUGGGAGUGUGUUAUAAGCAUAAAGAUUUGAUUUUGAUGUUAAAGAAGUGGAGAAAUCAAGGAUAUGCGUACGAGAAAGCCUUCACUUGGGGUAAAUGUAGAGACUUUCUUGUGUUGGGUGGGGAAGUGGAAGAGAGAUGAAUGGACGGACACACAGACGGCUGCAGCAACCCUAUCUUGCACCUUUCAGGCUUCAGUAUUAUCAUCGUAUUAUUGUGUCAAUAUAAUAUCAUUUUUUUCUCACCUUUUAAAUGCUAUUUUGUAUAAAAAUAAAAUUUUACAGAGGCAUUGGUAAUAACUUGUAUAUUUAAUUCUGUAAGAGGUUUUAUUUGAAAUAUUAAAAGAUACUUUUUCAAAAAUAUCUAACUUAUGAAUAAUUUUUUCCAAAAACAUUAUAUAUACAAGAAAAAACAGAUUUUUUCGCCACCUAACUUAUUGUUUUUUUAGAAAGUUACCCAUAAAUUAUAAUUUUUUUCCUUUUUGUCACUAAUGUUAGGUUUGGAUUUCUUUUGUCACUAACGUUAGGUUUUGAUUUUAUUAUUAACAUUAUAUUAUUCUUUUUAACAUUAUUAAAAUAUAGUGUUAGUCUGCAAUAUUAUGGUAAUCUGUUACACUUCUAUAUCUUUAUAUAUAAUAUUUUAAAUGUCUCCUAUGUAGUUUACCAUAGAGAAUGAGAGUGUCACACGCAUUAUAAAACUCCUAAAAGAUUUAAUUUUAUAUAUAUAUUAAUUUUUUCCUAAAUAAAAAUUUUGAUUAUCUAUUGUCUAUAUUAUAUAUUGUUUUAUAAAAAUCAAGGUUAGAUUUCAUCUGCAAUUAUUUAUACUAUUGUAAAUGAUAAACUAUUUGAAGUCAUUGAUUUCAAAAUUAGGAUUUAAUGAAUUUUUAGAGUUUUAAUUAUAAUUACUCCCGACCGCUCAUUUAUGUUAUUAUUAUUCCCUCCGUCUAUCUCAUUUAUUUAUAUUUCUUUCCACUGUUUGACACGUAUUUUAAAGUUCACACUUCUUACAAAACAUAUUUCUAUAACUUAAAGAUUUUUUUGUGUAUAAAAAUUUAAACAUUAACUUUUUAUUCAGAAAAAAAAAUUAAAAUAAUUUAUGGAACUAAAUCCUUUAGGAGCCUUAAAAUGCGUGUCAAACUCUCAUCCUCCAAGAUAAACUACCCGGGGCACAUAUAUAGUACUACAUAAAAAGAUACAAACACGUAUCAGAUCAUCAUAAUAUUGUAGACUCCCACUAUAUUUUUUAAUAAUGCUAAAAAGAAUAAUAUUGUAUUAAUAAUCAAAUCUGAAUCUAAAGUCAGUGACAAAAAAAAAAAAUCCAAACCUGACAUUAGUGACAAAAAGGAAAAAAGGUUAUAGUUUAGUGGUAAGUUUCUAAAUAUACAAUAAGUUGGUUGUCGAAAAAUUUAUUUUUUUCUAUAUACAAUUUUUUUUUUGACGUAGGAACCCGCAGCCGCUACCCUUCGGAUGCGCACUGGGUAAACCCACGAGCUCACGUAUUCUAUAUACAAUUUUAACCGUAUUUUUCAAAAUCAAUUUAAAAAGGUAGAUAUGUUUGUAAAUUCUUUUAUAAUAAAAUACAAACAUAAAACCAUUGUGAAGUAGGAGUAACAAAAAUAUAGAAUUUUAAAUGUUUUUUAAAUAACUUAAUUUCUAAUAUCAUUAUAUUCAUUUUAUAUGGGAAAUUAUGGGAUAAUAUACCCAAGUUUGUUCAAAAAUGUUGAUAGAUUUAUUUUUUUGAUAAAAAAGAAUCAAUUCAUUAAUUAAAAGCCAUACAACAUCUAUAAAUACAAUCGAAAUUGGAUAGACGCCGAAAAGUAUCGCUGUUGAAUCCUUCCCUCUUAGAGAGGCAACUAAGCGAUUUGAAGAUGAUUUGAAUAUAUACAUUUGUUUUCAUCUGAUUGGAUUUCACCUGACGGUUCAGAACAAUCGACCAUAGAUGCGAUCUCAUAAUAACCUUCAAACCUGAAUCAAAUCCAUGAAAAUCAUGUCGAUCUAUAACAUCGGUCAUGGAGAACAUUAAAACACACUAAAGACAAAACAAACUAACUCUCGCAAGAAAAAGAGACUAACAAAACUCAAAUAAAUUGAGAACUUAUUGAAUGGAAAAUAAGAUUUCAAAACAAUAAAAAAGAAAAAAAGAAUUAGGACUUUCCACCGGAGAAAACCGAUGGAAGCCCCCUCAAAAAUCUUUAAUGGACGCUAACGUGUUGGGGGGUGCUUAGGAGUAGGGUUAAAAAUGGAGCGGGUUCGGGGCGUGGACUUCAUUUCUCAGCCCCACCCCGUAUAUAUUUUUUCUGCCCUGUCCCCGUCCAAGUCCCUGCGGAUAUAUAUUUUUUCCGCCCUGUCCCCGUCCAUAUAGAUUUGAAAUUUGACUUGCAUGACUUUAUAAGAAAACUCCAGUAAGAAGUAAUACCCCUUAAAAUGAGAUUUAUUCCUAAUUAACAAAAUAAAUUUUUUAAAUGAUUUUUUCAACGAUCCAACCGUACAGAUGUUAAGAUAUAUUUAUUUUUGUCAUGUAAAAAAUAAUUUAAAAAAUUGAAAUUUACCUUGUAUGACUUUAUAAGAAAAAUAUUGUAAGAAGUACUACUCCUUGAAUUAAGAUUCAUUCCUUAUUAACAAAAUAAAUUAUUAAAAUGAUUUUUACAAAGAUCCAACCAUAUGGGUGUUAAGAUAUAUUAAUUUUAGUCAUGUGAAAAAAUAAUUAAAAGAUUUGAAAUUUUACUUGCAUGACUUUAUAAGAAAAAUUCAGUAAGAACUCUUACUUCUUAAAAUGAGAUUGAUUACUGAUUAACAAAAUAAAUUAUUAAAAUGAUUUUUUCAACGAUCCAACCGUACAGAUAUUAAGAUAUAUUGAUUUUAGUCAUAUAAAAAAAUAAUUAAAAGAUUUGAAAUUUAACUUGCAUGACUUUUAUAAGAAAAAUCUAGUAAGAAACGUACUACUCCUUAAAAUCUUUAGAUUCUGCAAAGGAGUACAUUUUUGUUUGGUCUAUUGAGGAACAUUUGCGUUUCGUCAAGUUUUCUGUGGAGGACAUAUAUUGGAAUUAGUGUUAAGUUUUUAUCUUUCUAUCUAUAUUUGUGACUCUAUUAUUAUAAUAGAAAAAAUAAUGAAAGGCCGUGCCUUUGGAGUAGCCAUCUGCAAUAGAGUCGGUUCCACCCCAUUUCUAUUAUAAUUGCUUCAUGAAAGCAUUAGCUAACCCCACUAUACAAAUUGCUCCCAAACACUGUGCCACCAUGUAGCCCAAAGCUCGCAUCAGUGUUAUUUUUCUUGCCAAAAAUCACUGCUGGAUUAAUAUGACACCCUACAAAAUUAGUUGCAGGAUUUUUGCAUUUGCAGGACCGACUGCUUGAUGAAAUUAGAGCAGGUCAGGAUGGGAGGUGGUUGUGAAUUUGUUUGUCUGAUUCUGGAGCCAUUGCAUUUAUUUAGGGAUUUAGGGAUUUAGAGGUAGAUAUGGUGUAAAGAGAUAACGGUGAUUUAAGUUAAUUUAAGUCAAUAUAACUAUUGAAAGAAAAAUGCUAGGGACCCCAAAUAUUUAUCCCAAAUUUUUUUCCCAAAUGAUGUGGUGAAAUUUCAUUGAUUGCAUUCAUUCCCAUAAUAAUGAGGCCCCCCCUGCAGAUUCAUCAACCACCCAAUCAAAUUUCGGCACUUAUUAUCCACGUCAUUUGGCAACAAAUUUUGGGGAAAAAAUUUGGAGUCUCUAGCAUUGCCCCUAUUGAAAUGGAGAAUUGACGGCAAUGUCCUUAUAAAUAUUAACUGUGUUAGUAAAAAUUGACGGAGAGACACAUUUUGUAAAAAAAUCAAAUUUCAGUAUUGCAAAUGAUAUGUAUUAAAAAUUGAUAUUAUAAGUGGUGUCACGCACAAAGUGCGAGUACACAUAAUGUACUUUACUCGUAAUUUUUUUUAUAAUUAUGUGUCUAAUAGAUCUCUUGAAUAUAAAAUCGUCGUAAAAAUUUGAAGCCAAACAGCAGGCUUUUAGGUAUAAAUUUGGACAAUAACUCUCUUGGAUAUGUGUAUUUAGAUUCUUAUACAUGUCAGAAGUUAAUAAAAUUAUUAGAAGUAAAUAUUUAAUUAUUUAUUAUACUCCAUUUAUCUCGGAACGAUAAUUUUGUUUUAAUUUGAUUUAUUAAAAUUUACUAAAUUUUGAGCAAUAAUUACUCAUAUUAUAUAAUUAAAAAAGUUAUAAAUUAUAUAGUUAGAAAAUAUAUUUAAUCUUUUUUAAAAUAGAUUUUCAAUUUUUAAAAAUUAUAAAUUUAUUUUUUAUUAUAAUACAAAAUUGGAUAAUUUAAUUAUUGAAAACAAUGAAAAUUAAAAAGGGUAGUACCACAUGAAAGGAUAAUACAAAAUGAAAAUUUAAUUAGGGGUUUUAAUACACAGUAAACAUGAGGAUGCUCAAGAGAGUUGGAAGAUUAGUGAUGCGAGAGCGAGAGCAUAUAAAUUAUAUACUACACAGGUGUAUAUCAUCACCAGCAAUAUAUGAUGUCGCCAACAGAUCUAUCCCUCUGCUGCAGGACACCCAACUUGACGGUUUUACAGGUUACCAAAUUUCUGUUAACUCUUCAAUUAUAUUGUAUGUAUAUGCAUCGUAUUCGGUUAUCAGGGCUUUUCCUUCCAACUGCAUAAUAUGAUCCACUUUGAUUCUUGAAAUUUGAUUCCUUCCAACUCUAGUAUUUUGGGCAUUACUUGUGAAAAUUGUGGUAUAUGGGGCCUUUUCCUUUAUUUCCCGGCGUUAAUCUAAUCUAGUAUAAUAUUGCGUGAAUGCUUAAUUAAUAACACGAAUGUAUUAUUUGUUGUACUUGAACUAGGCACAACAAAUUUGGUUCUUUAGAGCAAGUCCAAGAAGAAUCCUUAUCCACAAGCUCUAUUAUUAAAAUACUAAUAUAUUAGAAUUGCAAGAGCAAAUGAAGUGUGGAAAGAGAGGGUAUUAUAUUCAAUUUUUAAAACUAAAAUGAGGCUUGUGUAAUUAAGGCAGAUGAAAGAUGUCCUAGCAAUUUAAGGCAUUUUUAGGACACCGGUGGAGCUUUUAUUUUUGUCAAUAACCCUGAAUUUUGAUUUAGGACACCAAAUAAGACAUUUGUUGGACUUGCUCUUAUGUUACAGUAAUCUAUAUGACAACUACUUCACUAUUAUACAAUAGCUUUAUGACCAUGUUUGUUUGAAAUGAUUAUAAUCCUAGGAUAACUACAUUGUUUUCUUUAAAUUUAAAGGAUUAUCAUCUCAUGGGAUUUUAUUGCCAUCACUUUUUUUAUUCAAUCCCAAUCCCAUGGAAAUGAACUAAAACAAUUGAUUAGGAUAUGAAUUCAUGAGAUUAUUAUUCUUGACAAUUGAGAUAAACAAGGUAAUAAUUGGGGGAUUAUAAUCCCUUCAAACAAACAUGACCUAUCUAUGUCGAGUACAAUGAAUAGCUUUUAACCUAAUUAAUGAUUAACAUACGACGUAUUUGUUUUACUGAAGUUAUAUAGAAUAAAUUGUUUACUUAUAUAUAUAAUGGGAUUGCUAGACCUGAGGUAUGAGGGCAUUGGCGGAGCCAGGAUCAAAUGUAUAGAGGGACACCAUAACCCUAAUCACAUAGUUCAGCUGGGGGCACCUGUUAAUAAUACAUGUGAGACCCACAAAAAUAUAGUUGUUUUUUUGAAAGUUGGAGGGGCACGAGCCCCCUGGUGCCCUAAUGUGGCACCGCCACUGUAUGAGGGUGACAAGGUUAAACAAAUGCUAGUAUAAACUAGGGGGUAAUUGUCAAGGUAUCGCCGUGGUGAAAAAUGUAGAAUUAUAGAUGUAUUAAUAUAUGUGGGGUAGCACUUUAUAGCAUACUCUCUUAUAGAGAGUUUCGUGGUAUACCACUAUAAGUAUAUUCAUACUACAUAUAUUUAUUAUAUUUUUCAUUGAAUAUAAAUACAAAUUUUAAUCAUUGAAUUUAAAAAAAUACAAUUUUUUAUUCCAAAAAUCAUUGAAAAUAGUGCAAAAUUCCAACAUGAUUUUACAACAGAAUAAUAGUUAUCCAGAAUUAUUCUGCUAUAGAACUGGUUUCGGAAAUCAACUUUUUUUUUUCAAACUUUAGGUGUUAAAUUAUUUAUAAUAUAUAUAUGCUUGAAUAUUCUAUAUUAGAAUCACAUUUUAACCGUAAAAUUUAUAAUAAUAUUAAUGGUUUAUAAUGGUGCACUACGGAAUUACAUAUAAGAAGGACCUUCAUGGAAUGUUGGCCAAUAUAUGUGUAUUAAUUUGCAGAAGUAUUGUUUUCUUUCUCUUGUAUAAAACUAACUUAUAUCCCGUGGGAUGCACGAGUGACUUGUAAUAUGAUUUUUUUAAUUGUGCAUGUUCUAAUAUUAAUUUGUUUGUGAAAAUACAUUUAUUUUACAUGCUAAAUAAGUUUUUAAUAAUUAAGCCCGUGAAAAAAAAUUACAAAUAAAAAGACCCAAGAAAUAUAUUUUACCGAGAUGGAAAUAUGUCUUAGCUGUGAAGCAGGCAUACGGCAAACUACUGAAGAAUCGCAGGGGGUGCGCGCACCGUGCGGGAGCGCAGCGGUGCGACAGGGGGUGCGCCAGGUGGCAUGGCGACGAAUAUCCUUGGCCGAUACGCGGCGGUGCAGGAAAUGCGGUGCGGGAGGGGCAACAUCGGUAAUUUCACAGCAUAUUAAACAACCGUAAUUGAAGCCCCCAAUCUAGUCUCCUUCUUUCCGGCGAGCGGUGGAUGUUUCUUCUUCGCAUAAGGCUCGAUCUGCUCCAACUGCAAUGCCUCUAUAUAUCUGUGUGUAUUGUAUAUCUCUGUUGGUGCAGUGGUUGUUUGUUGUAUUGGGCUUGGGCCUAGCUAUCUACGUGGAUUAUGAACAAAUAACUGCUAAUCUAAUCUGGUUGUUGUCUCCUUUUAAUUUCUUUAUUUUUUAUUUGCUGACUUUUUAAUAAUUUUGUUAAUUUAGUUUUACUAAUUAUUAUAUACAUAAAUUAUAUUUUUUUAAUAUUAUAUAUAUAUAAAAUAUAUUUUUAAUAUUUUAUUUUUGCCGUAUACCGCCGCACCCGUAUCCUCAUUUUUUGAAAUUUACCGAAUUCGCGUAUCCCCGCACCGCGCAUCCCCGCACCCGCACCCAUGCUUCCCAGUGUCUUAGUAAAAUUCAAAAAGGACCCGUCAAAACAUGUUAUAAAAUUAAAAGACCAAUAAACUGACCCAAAUACAGACCAACCAAAACUUAUGCUGUCGUCUUAAAUAGUAUAUAGAUUCUAAUUAAAAGACUCCGAAAUGGUUCACUGAAAAGUUAAAAAUAAAUUAAAAUAUAUUACCGGAUGAUUACAUUUUAUUUCUUGUAAUAUCCUUUUACGUAUGUUGAAACUCAUCAAAUAUUGGAACUUGAUUUGACAGAGGACCAUAGAAGUAAAUGCUACGAAUUGGAGAGGAAAACAAAAGAAGAAUCUGAUUUUGAUAUAGCGGUAAGGAAUUUUACCAAUCUCUCAAUAGAGAUGAAGAAACAGAAGAUUAAUCAGAAGGAGCUUACAAGUGUCAGUAGUGGAGAUAUUGUUAAUCUACACGAGCUUUUGUUUACCAAAAACAGGGACUAUCUAAUCAAAUUCAAUGGGGACCAGGUACGUGUGCAUGAUUUUAUAUUCAUACAUACAUAUAUAUAUACAUACAUAUAUAUACAUAUAUAUAUAUAUAUAUAGGCAAUUGAUCAAAUACAAACCAACUCUUAAAUACAAACUAAAAACCAGAUUUCUUACCACUAUUUAUAACUACGAGUAUCACUAAUUUAUAUUGCACUAAUCACUGUUUUUGUACAAUAUAUAAACAACGAUUUUUAUCAUCAAAAUUGAGAAAAUCUACUUACAUAAACUAUUGGUAAUCGAUUAUAUAUGAUCAAUUUGAGUCGUAGGAAGGUUCUUAGUGGUAAGAAGCCGUAGAGAAGUUGUAUGAUGGUGUUAAGUAGUUGUUAGUUUUGGUAAGUUAUGAUGGAAAGUGUAUGUGACUAUUGGUGAUGGUAGACAAUGGUGGCAUGUCAUGAAAACGUCUGGUAAUGGUGGUGGUAAGAGGUCCAUUAUAACGGUUCAGGUGAAGAUGAUGGUCAUAUACGUUGCAUAUAUGUGAUGUGUGUGUGUGUAUUUAUAUUCGCGAGAUAUGCUAUAUAUAAAUUAGUGAUAUGUUAUGUACAAAUUAGUGAUUUCUGUAGUAAAAAAUAGUGAUAAAAAACUGACCAGAACUGGUUUUUAGUUUUUAGGCUAAUUUGGUUUGUAUUGGAGUAGGACUCUAUAUAUAUAUAUAUAUAUAAAUCUAGAAGGCCAAGCCAUGUAUAUAUAUAUAUAUAUAUAUAUAUAUAUAUAUAUAUAUAUAUAUAUGGAAGGCCAAGCCAUAAGAAUAUAUGUUGGUACUUCUACAUUGUCUUAUAUUAAUGUUAAUGCCAUGGUUUGGGGGAAUUUCGGAGCAGGGAGACUUUAAUUUUUGUUUCUGCCCCGGUCCCCAAAAUUUUCUUAUAAAAAUUUCUUGUUCCCAAAGCCGAACAAGCUCUGUCCUGAAUGGAGUGGGGAUCGGAUAUGGGUUAUGCAAAUCAUAAAACAUUAAUGAUGGUAUUUAAGAAAUUACGACACGCUAGAAUAAAGUAGACCGCAUAACAGCUAUUGAGGGUCACUUAUUGGCUAUAGGGCUGUAAAUCGAUACGGACUAUCCGGUGUCUCCGCUCAUAUCCGGCUCGAAAAUAUGAUACAUGUCUCAUAUCCGUUUUGAAAACGAUCCGAAUCUGGCGAAAAAAUUAAGUCCGUAUAAUAUAUGAUCCCGAAUACGAGCACACCUAUACCCGCUCAGAUUCGGUCUCAUAUAAUUUUUCAUAAUAUGAUCCUACCCGAAUAACCGAAUAUGAUCCACGGUUCAUAUUCGAUUCAAACUCAUAUAAAUAUUAUAUUUUAACACCAUCAUAUUUGCAAAUAAAUAGUCAUCAUUUUAUAUAAUUUUAAUAUCUUAUUUAAGUUUAUAUCUUCAUAAAAUAUGAUUUAUUUAAUGUGAUCAUGCUUAUAUCUUCGUAUAUAUUUAAUAAAUGAUAUAUAUACAAACAUAUAACUAUAAGUUUUAAUUUAAAAUUAUUAUACUUUAUAAUAUUAUGUUUACUUAGACUAAAUGAUAAUUAUUUGAACAACUGAAAUAAUAAUGAUAUUUAGUGUUACUGGAUCAUAUCCGGCUCAUAUUCGAUGGAUCAUAAACUACCCCGUUAAAAAAUAGAAAAUACGAUACUGGAUCAUAUCCGGUUCUGAUCCGAAUCUCAAAUACCGGGAUCGGUUUAUAUCCGAAUAUAACGAUCCCGGACCCAAAUCUGGACAAGAUAAAAAUAAUAUGCCGGGAUCACCCGGAUCAUUUUACAGCCCUAAUUGGCUAAAGAGAUGACCAGAACUAGACACAAAAUGAAACAAAUGUCAUUGAUAGCCCAAGUUAAACGAGAAUCAAUAAAUGAUCAUCUAGAACACAAACUGUGAGCUCAGCCGGCGCCAAAAACUCUCACUGCCUGCAUUAAAUUGAGCAGUCCUCUAAUCAAGGUUAAGUAGUUCAUUAACGACUUAAGAUGACAAAGUUGUUCAUCUUAAUGGAGGUAAACAUCUUUUUUCUAGGAAAAAAGAUGUUUGAUAUCUCCAUUAAGAUGACAAAGUUGUUCUUUUGGACUCGGAUGUGAUAUUCUGCAUUGCUAGUUUUGGCUUUAAAGAUUCUGUCAUCUUUUCUGGUUAUCAUCGUGGAGUAGUAGUAGUAGUAGUACCAUCAUGCUUAGAAUCUGCGGUUUUAGUGGCAAAGAGUAACUUAGUUUUAGUGAUGAAUCAGGGAAUCGAAGCAAGUGAUCAUGUAUCCAAAUAAAGAGAGGCAAGAAUUUGGUAGCUGUAUUUAGCUUUGGCUUGCCUUUAAAGCUCCACUUACUUUGAUAAAGAUAUGCCAUUGUUCCUGAAUAUUUUUCUUCAUCUUCUUCUUUAAGCUAGGGUAAUGUGUUCCCCUGGUAUUACUGUAGAUGGUUAUUUAUCCAAACAUCAAAAGUUAUUCGCCUAGUAAUGCAUUGGUAUCCUGUUCUUUCUUUGAUAUUUCAUCUGAAAUCACAAACAGUAGAUUACAAGAUUGUGGACCCAUAGAUAAAGAGGCUGAUGAUAAAAACAUGACUGUGAAGCUUUGCAUGAUUAAUAUAUUUACAAAUUAUCAUUCUUUUUAUGGGUAGAAUUAGGUCUACUGGAAAACAUCGGAAAGUGACUCCAGACUAGAAAAUACAAGUGAAAAUGUUUGGUAUGAUAGUAUUCACACUGUGUGCUCGAGGGAGAGACUCUUUCCAACAUAAUCUGGGAAUAAUUGGGGUGCAGAAGUGAUGAUUGUGGAGAAGAAAGGAUGAAACAUGGGCGGCUGUAACCCAUCUCUCCAAAAGAGAAUGGUUUGGGAUGUAACAAAAUGCAGGAGGGGCAGCUUGUAGUGAGUGUAAAAAAAAAAGCCUAAAUUGAAUUCAUUGGCAGAGGCUGGCAUGAUGUGUAAUGAUGAAACAGGUUUGUACAGAGUUAAGUAGCACAAGAAUACAAGUUGUGGACUUACCAGGAGACCUAAGUCUAUAAGAUAAUGAUAUACUUGACGAGGUAGAGGAAAAUGAGAGAAUUGCAUGGUGACAUGCAACAACUUAAUGGAGGUAAACAUCUUUUUUCUAAACAACUUGUAGAGAAAGCUAGGGUUUUGGAGAGAGAAAGCUAGGGUUUUAGAGAGAGAAUGCAGUUAUAGACAAACAAGAGAGAGAAGCAGUUGGUGGAAUUAGAUUCCAUUUUCUGUAUUUAAAUUCAACAUCCUCGAAAAAUACAACUCAUACUUCUAUCUAUAGAUUUGAUAUCCUUAAGUAAUGUGAAAGUGCUAAACAGCCCUUCCCUUGUACUAUACUAACACUAACAGUCUUCUAAGGAGAGUGCUAAUGUAAAGCAGUUGUUGGUGCAAUCCUAACAGACUACUACUACUCUCGCAUUGAAGUGAAGAAAGCUUAACGAAAAAUGAAAUCGAUGCCGAGCAUAGUUAAAAUGAACACCUGGUUUAUUUCUCAUCGAUCAUGUACCAGAGUUUUCCCAAGUUCAAUUUUGACCAAUUUAGUUAUUUGAGAGGUUUUGUGAUAUUUCUUAACUGCUUAGUGUGAGGGGCAAAUCAAUUCUUGUGCAAGGAGAGGGAUGCGGUCAUUCUGUGGACUUGUAUUCAAAUAUCAAAUUGUUAGUUAGUUUUAUGCAAUAAGCACUGUACCAAAUAGGACCAAUUAUAAGCUACUUGCACAAACAAGCCGAAAUCUAAUAUCUCGUCUUUUAUUUUGCAUGGCGAUAAUAUGAAAUCUAGAACAGUUUGGAUGACAACUCAAGCGCCAUUGUGAAAUAUCCACAAAGCCUAUUGAUAAAUUAUAUUUUUUUUAUAUAUAUAUAUAUCCUACAUCACUUUAGCUCCAAAAUAUACUUCUUUAAAAUGCAUGACUUGUGUUGUGUCUGACUGGCUUUUGAAAUUGUACCUGGAAGCUAGAAUGAGGUUCACCUAUGUAACAGCUAUAAACAUGUGUUUUCAGCUUAUCAACUUAUAACAAGUAUAUACUCUGUAGGUGAAGGCUGAGCAGUUUGCUGACAAGGUUAUCGUUAUAUAUUUUGUGUUACUGCCACUUGUUGAUAAUAAUUCUGCUGAGCGGGUGGGGCUGAUCACAGAAAGAUUAAAGGAUGUAUACAACUUUCUACCACCUAACAAAGGUUUCGAGAUCGUUUUUGUGGCUGUUGAUGAUGAUGACACUAGCUUUGAAGAAGAAAUGUUAUUUGAUCCUUUACCUAAAACAGACCUUGAGAAUGAUUUUGAAGAGGUAUUUUCUUGCAUGCCCUGGACUGCCAUUCCAUUGUCUGAUAGAACAUCCAGGGAACUUCUGCAGAAAAGAUUUGGUUUUAGGGAUAACAACGGUAGCCUGUUUGUAAUUGAUUCAAAAGGGGUCGUUUUGCAAACAAUUGUCAUUUAUGAUUUUAUUCGAUAUGGAAGUCUAGGAUAUCCUUUCAGCAGUGAGAGGCUCGAAUCCCUGGAAUCUGAAUGCAAAGCAAUCGCUGCAGAACCCACAGUAGAAAAACUUCUGUCUUCCCCUGAACGAGACUAUGUCAUUGCGAAUAACGGGGACAAGGUAUACCAUGCACACUUUAUAACAUUUGGUGAUAAGGGCAUAUCCACGAGUACCUUGUUGUAGUCAAUUAAUUUCUUUUUCAUUUGUACAUCCAGUUGAGUUUGGAUAAUAAUAUUUUCCUUUACACUUCCUACUGUUACAUGUAUUGUUAGGUGCCUAUUCAUACACUUGAAGAUAAGGUGGUAGCUCUAUACUUCCACGCAGGCAACGUAACUGAAACUGAUAUGCUUACAGAAGAACUUAGGAAUGUAUAUGAAAAGUUGGCUGAAAAAGAAGUUAAAUUUGAGGUUGUGCUUCUUUACCUUUGUGACACACCCAUUACUAUUGGAUUUAGAAAUGAAGAUUCAUUCUGGAGAACUUUUGGGACUAUGCCUUGGUUAGCUCUCCCUUAUAAAGACCCUAUCCUGAAGAAGUUGAAAAUAAUUUACGAGUAUCCUGAGGAUUAUAAUUAUGGUGAUGAUGAGGAGAUCUCCAAGCUUGUAAUUGUCGGUCCUCAUGGAGAAUUUUGUGAACCAUGUGGAGCCGACAUUUUGUUGAACUACAGAGUUCCAGGAUACCCCUUCACGCGUGAAAAAGCUCUCGAGUUAGAGACCGAAAGAAUAAAGAAAUUGAAGUUAGAGAUGAUUUUGGAGACGAACAAGGUCUUGACCAGAAAUGACGGAUCCAAGGUAUGUUCUUUUGACGUCUUGAUGCAUUAUUCAAAGAGUUUGGUAUAAAUUUUAUCUUCUCUUAUUCCAGUUCCUAAAGCCACUUCCAUGGCGCCUAUUAAAGAACAUUGAAACUGGUUAAUAAAUCAUAAUUAUUUCUUCUUUAACGGCACCUGUUACAGUUAUAAUGGUGCAUUGUUGCCCAAUUUUUCAGUACAUGUCAACUUAUCAAUUCCACUUUAAUAGGUUUCGCUCUCUCAACUUGCUGGCUAGAGGAUUAUGCUUUUAUUUGGUCUAUUUGAAGAUGAGUUCCUAAACAUGUUAAAAGAAAGGUAUCUCUCUAUGAAGAGUACAGAUGGUGAAUUUGAAGUAAUCCACAUCUAUGUAUCUGACACUGAUGAUGUUGUAGACCCGCCGGCCUGGUUUGUGUAUCAUCUGCCAAAAGGCUUCCGCUAUGCUUCUGAUAUUAUACCUGCUGACUUUGAUAAACGAUACUUUAGACAAGAAGAGAUUUACGAUGUUGGAGAUACGAGAAGACUUCUUGCUUUUGAUCGAGAUGGAAUGAUCGUCAGAGACUCGGCUUUUCCGACGAUUGAAGAUAUGAAUUUCCCCUUCUACACCAGGGGGUUGGAAAAGGAAGCCUUACUAGAAUUAGAUUCUGUGUUCCAUUGGUAUGAAUGGGAAGACGCUGAGAGUUGGAACCGUGAGGCAGGGUAUAUUGGACCAAACCAGUCUUGCGGACGAUCGGUUGGAUCCAUUUCCGCCUUGGGCGUCAUUAGUUUUGAGUCAUGAUGGGUUGAAGCAUGCUGAUAGUUAUUAGAAUAUAAUAAAUUGAAGUGUUCUAUUAUUUUAUGUAUUAUUAGUUAUUUGAAGGAUGG